rnacentral:rRNA from 1 species
AGAGUUUUUUCCUGGCUCAGGACGAACGCUGGCGGCGUGCCUAAUACAUGCAAGUCGAGCGAACUGACUUGGAAAGCUUGCUUUUCGAUGACGUGAGCGGCGGACGGGUGAGUAACACGUGGGCAACCUGCCCUAUAGACUGGGAUAACGUCGGGAAACCGGAGCUAAUACCGGAUAAUACGUUUGAUCACAUGUUCGUAAGUUGAAAGAUGGCAUCUCGCUAUCACUAUAGGAUGGACUCGCGGCGCAUUAGAUAGUUGGUGAGGUAAUGACUCACCAAGGCGACGAUGCGUAGCCGACGUGAGAGGGUGAUCGGCCCCACUGGGAGUGAGACACGGCCCAGACUCUUACGCGAGGCACCAGUAAGGAAUCUUCCACAAUGGGCGAAAGUCUGAUGGAGCAACGCCGCGUGAGUGAAGAAGGAUUUCGGUUGGUAUAACUCCGUUGCAAGGGAAGAACAAGUAGCGUAGUAACUGGCGCUACCUUGACGGUACCUUGUUAGAAAGCCACGGCUAACUACGUGCCAGCACCCGCGGUAAUACGUAGGUGGCAAGCGUUUUCCGGAAUUUUUGGGGGUAAAGCGCGCGCAGGUGGUUUUUUAAUUCUGAUGUGAAAGCCCACGGUUCACCCGUGGAGGGUCAUUGGAAACUGGGAGACAUGAGUGCAGAAGAGGAUAGUGGAAUUCCAAGUGUAGCGGUGAAAUGCGUAGAGAUUUGGAGGAACACCAGUGGGGAAGGCGACUUUCUGGUCUGUAACUGACACUGAGGCGCGAAAGCGUGGGGAGCAAACAGGAUUAGAUACCCUGGUAGUCCACCCCGUAAACGAUGAGUGCUAAGUGCUGGGGGGUUCCGGCCCCUCAGUGCGGCAGCUAACGCAUUAAGCACUCCGCCUGGGGAGUACGGUCGCAAGACUGAAACUCAAAGGAAUUGACGGGGGCCCGCACAAGCGGUGGAGCAUGUGGUUUAAUUC